GAUGAACGUUGGCGGUGCGCCUAAUACAUGCAAGUCGAACGGAGACAGUAGCAAUAUUGUCUUAGUGGCGAACGGGUGAGUAACGCGUUGGUGAUCUGCCUCGAAGUGUGGAAUAACGUUCCGAAAGGAGCACUAAUACCGCAUGGUCUUCCGGUUUUUAGAAAGCUGGAAGUAAAGGAGUAAUUCGCUUCGAGAGGAGCCUGCGUCCCAUCAGCUAGUUGGUAAGGUAAUGGCCUACCAAGGCAAUGACGGGUAGGGGACCUGAGAGGGUCGGCCCCCCACAAUGGAACUGAAACACGGUCCAUACACCUACGGGUGGCAGCAGUAGGGAAUAUUAGUAAUGGGCGAAAGCCUGAACUAGCGACACCGCGUGUGCGAAGAAGGCCUUCGGGUUGUAAAGCACUUUUAGAGAGGAUGAGGAAGGACGGUACUCUCUGAAUAAGUCUCGGCUAACUACGUG
rnacentral:rRNA from 1 species